UCAGUCGGUAGAGCAUCAGACUUUUAAUC
rnacentral:piRNA from 1 species